rnacentral:rRNA from 1 species
ACUCAAAUGAAUUGACGGGGACCCGCACAAGCAGUGGAGUAUGUGGUUUAAUUCGAAGCAACGCGAAGAACCUUACCAGGUCUUGACAUCCCUCUGAACAGUUUAGAGAUAGAUUGGGCCUUUCGGGGACAGAGGAGACAGGUGGUGCAUGGUUGUCGUCAGCUCGUGUCGUGAGAUGUUGGGUUAAGUCCCGCAACGAGCGCAACCCUUGAUCUUAGUUGCCAGCAGGUCGAGCUGGGCACUCUAAGGUGACUGCCGGUGACAAACCGGAGGAAGGCGGGGAUGACGUCAAAUCAUCAUGCCCCUUAUGACCUGGGCUACACACGUACUACAAUGGCCGGUACAACGGGCCGCGAUACCGCAAGGUGGAGCCAAUCCCAGAAAAGCCGGUCUCAGUUCGGAUUGCAGGCUGCAACUCGCCUGCAUGAAGUCGGAAUUGCUAGUAAUCGCGGAUCAGCAUGCCGCGGUGAAUACGUUCCCGGGUCUUGUACACACCGCCCGU